AAGGGGCCUUCGGCGGGCCUAAUCAUGCAAGCCGAACGGCAGCACGAUCUUCGGAUUGGUGGCGAGUGGCGCACGGGUGCGUAACGCGUAUGCAACUUACCCUUGACAAGGGGAUAGCCCGGGGAAACCCGGAUUAAUACCCCAUGGUAUUAUUGAAUCCCAUGGUUUAAUAAUUAAAGAUUUAUUGGUCGAGGAUGGGCAUGCGUCCGAUUAGUUAGUUGGUGAGGUAACGGCUCACCAAGGCGAUGAUCGGUAGGGGGUCUGAGAGGAUGAUCCCCCCCACUGGUACUGAAAUACGGACCAUACUCCUACGGGAGGCAGCAGUAGGGAAUAUUGGGCAAUGGGUGAGAGCCUGACCCAGCCAUGCCCCGUGGAGGAAGACGGCCCUACGGGUUGUAAACUACUUUUAUAUAGGAACAAAAAAGAUCGUGCGCGAUUUAUUGACGGUACUAUAUGAAUAAGCAUCGGCUAACCUCCGUGCCAGCCCCCCCGUAAUACGGAGGAAGCCAACCUUGUCCGGAUUUGUUGCUUUAUAAGGGAACGUACGCGAAUUGCCACGUCCGAGGGGAAAGCUCUCGGCUGAACCAGUAACUUGACAUGGGUCCUGCUCGCUCUUGAUCCAGUUGAGGUGGACGGGAUGCAUGGUGUACCGCUGUAAUGCAGUGUACCAGGAGAGCCACGGUCGGGAGUACACAUUCUGAACUGUAACAGACGCUGGGUGCGAAAAGCGUCGCAGGCGCGAGCACUAAAUGCCCUGGGAUUCCGAUGCAGACGAUGCUAAAUU
rnacentral:rRNA from 1 species